CUUGCUGCUUCCAAGAAAAAUUUGGAUGAUUCCGCCAUCCCGGAUUAUAUGUAUUGGAAAAUGGGUCAUUACCCGGUCUGGGCUGUGUUUGAGCAGUAUUAAUGUGUUCUUGCACGAGUUUGGGAAAUUGGGAUGCUGAGGGGCACUCAUGAAUAGGAUGCGAUGGGCUAGAACAGAUAGCACACACUUGUGCUUGGGAA
rnacentral:lncRNA from 1 species